rnacentral:rRNA from 1 species
UACGUAGGGUGCGAGCGUUGUCCGGAAUUAUUGGGCGUAAAGAGCUCGUAGGCGGUUUGUUGCGUCUAUCGUGAAAACCUGCGGCUUAACUGUGGGCUUGCGGUGGAUACGGGCAGACUUGAGUUCGGUAGGGGAGACUGGAAUUCCUGGUGUAGCGGUGAAAUGCGCAGAUAUCAGGAGGAACACCGGUGGCGAAGGCGGCUAUCUGGACGGUUUCUGACGCUAAGACGCGAAAGCGUGGGGAGCAAACAGG